GUCUUACUCCCUCCGUUCGGAAUUACUUGUCUCGGAAAUGGAUGUAUCUAAAACUAAAAUACGUCUAGAUACAUCUAUUUCUGCGACAAGUAAUUCUGAACGGAGGGAGUACGUG
rnacentral:pre_miRNA from 1 species